GUGCGUGGUAUGUCUGUGGCGAUGAAUCGUGCAUGUCCUUCUCAUCGAUAGGUGCGAUGAGGGAUGCGAGAGAAGGCAUUCAUCCUCUUCCAUCGGCACGCGGGCUUUGCCCGUUGAGUUGAUGCUAAUGGAUGGUGCGUUUUGAAAUAAAUGUGGCUGAUUCGAAGUUGGCCUUGGUGCCGUCUGUACCUUUGCUCAUUUUGGGCAUGUUGCCGCAAAAAUUGGAACAACUUCGCUCCUUCGCAUGACUCCAUCAAAUAGGUGGCGCGUGCGGGGGUUGUGCACAGGUUGUUUUUGAGGUUGUGUUACCUGGUUGAUCCUGCCAGUAGUCAUAUGCUUG
rnacentral:misc_RNA from 1 species